AUAUGAUGCGUUCAUGGACUCGGUUUUACUGUUAUUAAAGUAACGUUUUUUCUCAUAGACUUCAAUUGAAUAUUUCCCACUAGAACAAAUAGUGAUUGACAUUGCUUGUCGAUUUCGUCAACCGCGGGGAACUGAUGGUAUCUUGCAAAAAGGUUCACAGUUAGAAUGAAAGCUCUGUUGAACACGACCAAACUCGGGAGGAAAAUCAAGAUCCAAUCUUUAAAGUGAUGGACUUUAUCCAACGUCGAUAAUGGGUUUGGUCUGCAGUCAACGAUGAACCUUGUUUACACUUAGUGCUGGACCUUAUCUUCAGUCAGCGAUGGACUUUAUCUUCAGUCAGCGAUGGACUUUAUCUUCAGUCAGUGAUGGACCCUAUUCACACCUAGUUAAUUCAAAGAUGGACUUAGAUGAUUAGCCGCAAUUUGUAAUGGGUUUUAUCCAGAGUCAGCAAAGGACUUUAUUUACAGAUAGUGACGGAUUCUGAAAAUCCACACUUAGUAAUGGACUUCAUCCACAUUAAGUGAUGGAUUUCGAUAAUCCACAGUCUUUGAUUGACCUUAUCAACACUCAGUGAACCCAUUCACAAUUAUCAUAAAGUGACUUAUUUUCGCCCUGGUCUAGUUUUCGCGGUACGUAUAUAACCAUGAUUCAAAUGUCCAUGAUCAGAUGAAAGUGAACUACCUUAAAAAACAACUCCUCCACCACGAGUUUUUAUUCCUCUGUUGUAAAUGAUUCAAAUGACUAGAGAAGUGAUCACUACACACGGAGAUAUUUGUUAAAGAAGCGAACACUUCUCUACAUCGUCCAAAGCAUCAAUCAACCAUUGAUUACUACCUGCUUACAAUUAAGUGUGCAAUAUAGAUAAUUGCUGUAAAGUACAGUUUUGAAUGCGGUUUAUUCACGAAUUCAAGCUCCGAGCAUAAUUAACACAGUGUCCUGGCAGAUUCUAUUUUUCAUUUAAAAGUUCGACACUAAAUCUGCAUCUAACUGUGCUUUCAUGGCUUGUUUCAUUUACUAAAUAUAGUUGAUCACUUGAUCAUCAUCAGCGCGAUGUCAAAUUAUUCACCUGACUCCAAACCUGCGAAACCUUUAACUGUUUAAGGUUUGACAUAACGGAAAUAGCUGUCAGAUUAGAUCCCUGCGCUUCUAGUCUCGGGUGUGAACGAAAUUUGAUUUCAAAACACUCACAUAUGGUCAAUUAAUAUCGUGUUCGAUUGACAAGUCUGUGUUCCUCCAUUUUUUCUCUUUUCAUAUUUUU